GGCCCGGCCCACGAGGCGCGGCGGACUCGGCAGAGGCUGGGGGCGCACGCGCCUGGGGACGGGCUCGCGGCCCUACGGGAGCCGAGGGAGGGAGGGAGGGAGGGAAGCAGGAGGGGAGGGAGCUUAGCGGGGAGCCCGGGCCCAGGGGCGCCGGGGUCGGAGCCUGGGAUCCCCCAUGAGGGGCCGCCGCCGCCGCUACCUGCUGCUGGAUCUUGCCGUCCUCCGUCACGAUCCAGUAAUCCUAGGAUCUUCUUUGAAGGAGAACCAGACAAACUUUGAAAGUAAGCCUUCAAGGUCCAGCUUUGAGAGCUAUAAUCCAGUAGUCUACAAACAAGACCAAGGAGAAUUCUGGGAAGGCAGUCCCCACCAACAUCUAAAAGGUCCCAGCUUUCUAAAUAACCAAGACUGGAGAUCUGUCUACAGUUCUUUAUAAAUAAGGAAUGGUUCCAGCUUCUUUAUCUAGAUUCUCAACAGAAAGAAUGCCUAAAGAAAGCUAUUUUUGAGAGGCUGCUUUGUAUAUUUAGUGCUCCAUAGUUCAGAGAAUCAUUUUUAUAGCUCAUCAUUUAAAAAAAAAAAAA